rnacentral:rRNA from 1 species
AUUCCUACGGGAGGCAGCAGUGGGGAAUAUUGCACAAUGGGCGAAAGCCUGAUGCAGCCAUGCCGCGUGUAUGAAGAAGGCCUUCGGGUUGUAAAGUACUUUCAGUUGUGAGGAAGGGGGUAACGUUAAUAGCGUUAUCUCUUGACGUUAGCAACAGAAGAAGCACCGGCUAACUCCGUGCCAGCAGCCGCGGUAAUACGGAGGGUGCGAGCGUUAAUCGGAAUUACUGGGCGUAAAGCGCAUGCAGGUGGUUCAUUAAGUCAGAUGUGAAAGCCCGGGGCUCAACCUCGGAACUGCAUUUGAAACUGGUGAACUAGAGUGCUGUAGAGGGGGGUAGAAUUUCAGGUGUAGCGGUGAAAUGCGUAGAGAUCUGAAGGAAUACCAGUGGCGAAGGCGGCCCCCUGGACAGACACUGACACUCAGAUGCGAAAGCGUGGGGAGCAAACAGGAUUAGAUACCCUGGUAGUCCACGCCGUAAACGAUGUCUACUUGGAGGUUGUGGCCUUGAGCCGUGGCUUUCGGAGCUAACGCGUUAAGUAGACCGCCUGGGGAGUACGGUCGCAAGAUUAAAACUCAAAUGAAUUGACGG